rnacentral:sRNA from 1 species
ACCACUGAGCUAAAUCCCCAGCCCCCUGUGAUGACCUCUUAAACUGGGAAAUAAGAAGGUGUCUUUGCUUCUUUGCAAUAGUCUCAGGGUCUCCGUCUGUCUACCUGUGGUAAUAACUGAGUGAUGACAUCACCAAGGAUUUUGCAUUCUUAAGACUGCAGGUAUUUUUCCAGACUGGGCUUUGCAGUAAACCUGCCUCAGGGCCUUACUGUAACACCCUUCACAGAUGAGCACCCUGAGGCCUAGGCAGGUCAAAGGCUACGACUCAAAAACAGGGCUCUGGCUCGCCCCUCUAUACUUAUGCCAGUCGCGUGGGGGAGUGUAGUUCUCAAAGCCAACCCUGGUUUGUGGCCUGGAGCUGGGGCACCCAAGCCACACACACCCUCUGGGCCCUGGCUGGGCCAGAUGUGUCCGCCAGAGGCCACCAGGGGGCGCUGCAAUGCCGGCGACUCCCGGGUGAGGUCCACGCCUGUUCCACGGACCCAGCCUCAGCUCCUGGAGCCGGCAACUUGAGGCGGACAGGGCAGAAGCUGGGAGAUCGCUUGGCCCCGGGCAGCGCAGACCUCAGCCGCAGCUCAAGCCCUGGUCCAGGCAGGCUUCUCGACGCUCGGGGAGUCGGGGUACUGAGCCUCGGAGUCAGGGGUGCUGCGCCCCGGGCAGACCUCCUUCCUCUUUUCCAGUCAUAGGCUCCGUAUGUGAACUCGUUUGCAUCUCUGCGGGCUUUAAAUGUUGCACAACUCCACGGAAGAAGAAACUCUGCCACAAGGCCCGUUCCUAUUGCAAAGCCCCAUGUCUUUGAGAUGUCUGUUUCUACUCCACCACUCUCGGCUGAGGCCAUGUGAAAGCUUAUGUGAGCACCUUGCAUCACAGGAUAAACACGAGGCUGCUCUCUGUCCCUUCAGGACGGCUGCAGCUGUCUGGGAACUCCCAGAGAUCCACCCACCUGCCUCUGUCUCUCCAGAGCUGGCAUUGAACACCGCACCACCGCACCCGGCUUAGUACUUGAGUUUAACAGAUGAAGUCAUGGAAACACAAUGAUGUUAAGCAACUUGGCCAAGAAGGAGCGGUGGGGAAGUCACAGGACACUCACCUGAGGAUCCAUCCACUCCCACCACCCAGGUCCAGCAGCAGUGAGUGACCAGAAGCAGGCCAUUGCCAGGUAUCCUUGAAGGGCAGGGAGUCUGUCCAGCCACGCCCAGGAAAGCACGCCCGUCCUGGAGCAUGUUCGGGUGUGGCCUUGGAAGAUAUGCAACUGAGAGCAGAGGUCAGAACAGAACCAGAUCAGAAGGGCUUUGCUUGGCCAGGCCGUUUGGCUCUGCAGCACACCUGGAUCCCAUUCCUAGACUGUCCGGCUCUGAUUGGUGCCCACUGCAGGCUCCGCCUCCAGCUCUUUGGAUGAGAAAAUAUGGACGCCUGUGUUUUAAGAACUGAAACUGUCCUGGGACCUCGGCCCACUGGAGUUUGCUGCCACAUUUAAGGUGGUUCCUCCCAGCUCCGUUAAUUCCAUCUAGAGAGUACCUCACCCACACGGACAGGUUUGUCUCCCAGGUGAUUCUAGACCCUGUCAAACUGGCUGUAUUAAAGUGUCACGUGCUGGUUGCUGUAAGGACAGUCCCCAGAAGCUGCCUUCUCUAAGCACCCACAGUGCUGAGACUCUGGCCUUGACCGCUCAUACUUCAAGUUGGGCUGCAUUUCUGAGAGUUCUGCUACAGGGGCAUGGCUGUGCUCUCCCGGGGCAGGGGCCUCCCCAGGUUCAGAACCCUUGAAUCACCACUAUCUAUCUCCCUCUGCCCUUUUCCCUCCUUCCUGGCCCCCUCUCUUAAAAACCUUACUGUGCGGCAUGGAGAACCCCAGCAGGAGCUCCUGCAGGGAGAGAGAAGGCACACUGGUGAGGAAGCUUGCUUCUUUCUCAGCUGUAGCUGGGGCCAAGCCUACAGCCUCUUGUCAGUAAGUACACCCAGGGCUGCAGAGAAAGGCCCCAUCAUUGGGAAAGAGAAGGGGCUUUCAAGUCUUUCACUUUCCUGUCUGUCAUUGUUCUUAAAGUUUCAGGGUAAAACUAGGGCCUAAUGCAGCCACGAAACACCCGAGCUGUUCAAGGCAGGCCUUGUGCAAAACGCUGCAGGAUUUCGGACAGGAAGUUGUGUGGCUGUGUGGGCGUGAGGACCAGCUUCCUCCCUCUCUGACACUUUCUACGCUUUGGGGACCUUGCUCAGCAGUCUCCCCUCCCCCAAGCCCAGCAGACCCUCCUGAGGCCUCACACAGCCUCUGCCCCAGCAAGAGUGAAAACAGCAGGGUGAAUCCCAUCCUCUCUCAUCCCUGUCCCUCAUCUCCCCUAGACACGUGACCAUUUCUGACACCACACAGGACUUUCACUUCUUCAGAGUAGAAGCACUUGUAGAGUGUCUGGUUUUCGGAAUACUUGUCCUACCCUGCUUUCUCAGAGGAGGCUUGAUCUUGUUAUCCUUGUCUGGGUUCCUUGCCUCUGAAAGCAUAGUUUCUAGGUAACAAGCAGGGGCGGUCUGUAUACCCUGUAGCUACGGAGGGAGUCUCAGGAGUUCAGAAGCUAAUUUGAAUAGAGUUAUUGAUAGUGGAUAGAGCAAUUUGCAUACUGGAACUAAGUGGGUGGCUCUAGGAUGUUUAGGAAAUGACCCACAGAGUCUGUAGAUUCUGGGGCUCCAAAUCCAUUUCUCACAGAUGGGCUACCCUUAACUGCAGUCCCUGCCAACAUUCUGCUACAAGAACAUGUCAGAUUCAGAUUCCAGUAGCAGGAGCCUGCCCUGAUCAGCUGCUGGGAAGGCACUGUGGCCCAACUUGAAGAACUCUUGAAUUAGUGCCUCCCUCUCCUGGAACCUGAGAGCCUUGAUCUACAAACUGAAGGGCAGAAGGCAUGACUUUAACGCUUCACGGACUUAAAAUGCUGUAUCCUGUGAUUCUCCCAGCAGACGUAAACCUUGUCAUCUAACAGCAGCCUUCUUCAGCCUCAGAAAGGAACUGUGCAAUUUUAGCCCUUGCAUGUUAAGAGACCAGGAGGAGGGGUGCCUUCCAAGGCAGAGGGGCUUGCAGAGUAGCCAAUAUCAAGCCCUUCGUCCAGGAAGGGCUACAGUCUAUUCUCUUUCUU